CCUACUCCAGGACCAAGAAGAUCAACGCUCCGUUCUCCCCCAAUGGAGCAGCUGGAUUAGGGUUUUGUUGCUCUCUGAAACUUUGCCCAAAUUGAGUGAAGAUAGAGGAGAGCUUACCAAUGAAUCAUAAUCAAGGGGAUGAAGCGAGGUCUCUUGUUGUUGCGAUUGAGGACGACCCUUUGGCCGAAGUGGGUCAGUCCUCUUCGAAGAGCCAUGCCCGAGAUGCUCACAUAUUAAGUUUAUCUUUAUUCUUCAUCUUCUGUGCUUACGGUGCUGCUCAGAAUCUCGAGAGCACUGUCAACACCAAGGGGGACCUUGGAACAACGUUGAUGGGGAUACUUUACACUUCGUUCACUCUGUUCUCAGUGGUGGCUUCGCCAGUUGUGAGGGGCUUGGGGACGAAGCGGGCUCUGGUUUUG